CAAAUGGACACUUGCAAGCCGGAGCUCGGGGGUCAUCGUUGCAGCCACAGAAGCCAGUGCUACAGGCAGUGAGUGAAAAGGAAGCUAUGUGCAGGAAGCCAUUUCACUUGCUGGGGAGCUGCUAUCUACCUGGGAUCUUAUCUAGGAGCUUCAAAGGCAUUGGCAGCCAUUGCCCAACUAUCAAGCACGCUGGCCUCUGGCUCCCUGUCCCCAAGGCAGGAAUGAUGCUGAGUAGCGAUCUCCCCACAGAUACACAUCAGGAGGCAGAGAAAAAUGGCCCUGCACACCUGAGUGUCAGCUUCUGGCUUCUUUCGUCAAAGUCACUUUGUGGUCCAGGAUGGCGGCUAGAACUCUUGGAAAGAGGAGGGAAAACAGAAGAGGCAUUUACCAAAUGAAGCAGACUCAUUUAAAGCAGCCCUUCAAGAAAUCCCAAAUAAUGCUUCCAUCUGCUUCUCUUUGGCCAUUAGAUAUUAGUCACGUGUUCAUUCUUGGUU
rnacentral:lncRNA from 1 species